GUGCUCGCUUUGGCAGCACAUAUACUAAAAAACCGGAAUGAUACAGAGAAGAUUAGCAUGGUCCCUGCGCAAGGAUGACACGCAAAUUCGUGAAGUGUUCCAUAUUAAA
rnacentral:snRNA from 1 species